GGUAAAAGAAUGGCAUUCGCAGGGGAAUGGUCAGAUCUUGAACAAAUAAUGUUGAGCGAGACAAGCCUAGAACACAGAGGACAACGGCGCAUGGUCUCCCUGAUAGGUGAGUGUUAGAGGAGAAUCU